rnacentral:rRNA from 1 species
UCCGUAGGGUGAACCUGCGGAGGGAUCAUUACAGAGUUGCAAAACUCCCACAAACCAUCGCGAAUCUUACCCGUACGGUUGCCUCGGCGCUGGCGGUCCGGAAAGGCCUUCGGGCCCUCCCGGAUCCUCGGGUCUCCCGCUCGCGGGAGGUUUGCCCGCCGGAGUGCCGAAACUAAACUCUUGAUAUUUUAUGUCUCUCUGAGUAAACUUUUAAAUAAGUCAAAACUUUCAACAACGGAUCUCUUGGUUCUGGCAUCGAUGAAGAACGCAGCGAAAUGCGAUAAGUAAUGUGAAUUGCAGAAUUCAGUGAAUCAUCGAAUCUUUGAACGCACAUUGCGCUCGCCAGUAUUCUGGCGAGCAUGCCUGUUCGAGCGUCAUUUCAACCAUCAAGCUCUGCUUGCGUUGGGGAUCCGCGGCUGUCCGCGGUCCCUCAAAAUCAGUGGCGGGCUCGCUAGUCACACCGAGCGUAGUAACUCUACAUCGCUAUGGUCGUGCGGCGGGUGCUUGCCGUAAAACCCCCCAUUUCUAAGGUUGACCUCGGAUCAGGUAGGAAUUACCCGCUGAACUUAAGCAUAUCAAUAAGCGGAGGAA